rnacentral:lncRNA from 1 species
CUUUCCUUGACUCUUGACUGACACCAUUUCCUGAGGUUCUCUUCUCUCAGGAAGGCAAACUCAGGAACGAGUAGGAGUUUGCUGAAAAUCCAGAGCCUUGGAAGGCAGAAAUGCAAUGAUGUCCUUUUCUUUCUAGAAGUAAGGUGUCUUCUGAGAUUCAACGAUGGAACAACACGUCUAGUCAACACAUUACCAUCUUAUGGCACUGUGCAGAACACUCCAAAGCUACCCUGUAUCUGCACAAUUCAUGGAUACCCUGAGAUAUUGUUCUGGUAUCAGGACUGGGAGGUUUGGAUCUAACUCAUCCCACCCAAGGCCCAUCACCCAUCGGUGAUUCAGCUGAAGAUGCUCCUGAAGAGAGGUUUGGUGGCCACGGGAGUCCUGGUGGAACAAAGUGAUGGGCUGACACGGAGGUGAAGCUGGACUCCCUUUGAAUCCUACCAAGCAAGGAAGAAAACAUAAAUUACAGCUCCCCCUGAAUCCUCAAACACGUGAGCCUCUUCCACAGCAGGACAGCCUGCACAUCUUCUUGAAAGAAUAGAGGACUGAUGGUAAAACAGUUAUUUUUGAAGUGGAUUACUGUCCAGCGUGGCAUUUUAGUCUUUCUUGCAUUAGUUCAGGCUGAACACAAUGGUGUCUCUGGAUAAUUUUCCACCUGUCUGUUUUGAAUAUCAGAUGGAAGUGUUUAGCUGGUGAACUGGAAUGGUGCCAGAUUUUGCAGGAGCCUUUUCUCUUGAGUUCUGCUGUUUUUGUAACUACUUAGAUGGAAUUAUCCAAGCAUGCUCCAGGCUGGCAUGGGGUAAAUGCUGAGCAACACAACUGGAAUCGGCUCUUCAUAUGUCAACACAAUUCCAUAGUUAAUGUCAAGGAACAAGCUACUGGAGCACAUUUAACUGUAAUUCACAGGUCCUCAAAGGGCCAGAAGGGUAUUUGAUGUUGUACAGACCUGCAGGAUGACCCUGACCCGUCAGCACAGUCAUUCCAGAAACUGAAAAGAAAGUCAUUUGCACCAUUUUGUUGCUGGACUGAGGUGCAGUGUGCAUAAAUGUGCAUGAAAGCUGUAUUGCUGAGCAUGACUGAAAGCCUCUUCCUCUCUUAAGCAUCCUCUAAUAGGAUGGAAGUAGGAUAAUUCAGCCAGGUAAUGCGGAGCUUUGAAGUUAAUGACUCUAUUAGGUAUUUAGCAUAUUCAUGUUGGAGACCUUGGAUAACUGGAAUACCGAAUUUAGGAUUUCUAAUUGACUCAGCUAUUACUUCCUUGUGCUGCUUGGUUGGGGCUGAUCGUGAGGAAGGAGGUAGCAGUGCCAGCUGCUGUUUUCCCUAGUGGAAAACGAACCCGACCAUCCCCAUUCUCACAUGUGGUUGGUAUCUCCACAGUGCAGGAAUUUGUUAGCUUAAAGCUUCUCUCUAAAUGGGUGACAACUCUUCCCUGAUAAGCUGUGGCAGCCCUGCAUGUGAGACCUCAGACACCAAAUAAACAGUGCUGGCAUCAGAUAAUUCUGUUUAGAAUGCCAAAGCCUCAGAAGUAUCCUAUCUUUUGAAAUGCAGUGAUUUUUUUUUUCAUGGGUUGUUUACAUCUUCCUGCAGUGACUUCAUGUCAGCUGUUAGCUCUUCAGUGUCUAUGAAAGAUUAAACCAUUGAUCCUACAAAGCAUGUGCAGGAUUCUGGUCUUUUUUUUUUUUUCCGUAAGCAUUUGGGGAAUGAUUUAUCCGUCAUUCCUCCCCCUGCUCCUAAAAAUUCUGCUUGGGGUGCUGAUGGGCAAAACAAAACUUGUAACCACUACAGAUGUAGCGCUGGCAGUGUGCUCCAAAGGAGAUGUUGAGGUCGAUGAGUUGGGAAAAGACACGGAUGUUCUGGAGCUCACUGUGCAAAGCUGAACGUCCACCGGCAUCAAAGCACUCGGUGGACAAUUCUGCUUUCUCCCUUUAAAACACAGGGUGCAAAUUGCUGUUGUAAAGAUCACAGCCUUUGAGGGAAGACCUGUUAUUUGGACUGGAAGCUUCCAAUACUUUGGAAGCUGUGAGCAAACAAGACCAACGCUGGCUGCGUGAAAUCACUGAGUACGUCAAGUGCAGAAGGGAAAGCACCAAAAAAGCUGAGGGCUUUGAAACUGUUUAUCUAAGUUUCUUGCAUGGCCCCUCUUAUCGCAGCAUGGCAGCACCUCCCGGAUGGUAAGACGUUUAUCUUCUUGCCAACACCCUCACAGGGUUCCUAUCCCUAUUUUGGUUAGGAGACCCCUGUGCAGGCGCUGAGUGAUAUGCCCAAUGGCACUUGGGGUUUCUGUGGCAGAUCAAGGAAUGAAGCUCAGCUUUCCCAUGCCCUGGGCUAAUUCCUUAGCCCUGUGGGAUCCUGCUAGAAAUGAGCAGAAUGGCUUAGCAAAACACAGCAGCAUGUGGAAUUAAUGCUCCAAUGCUGUAUGAGGGAGGCCAUCCUUGAAUCUUAUGUUGGCACUUAAGUCCCAGCCUUUAGAAACAAGUUGCUGUUCUGUGGUGGGGAGCUGAAGUUGGCCCUGGGAUGAGCAGAAUUCAGCUACCUGGGGCAAAACUUAUUAGUCUGAGUAUAGUACUGUGAUGGGCAGGCCGUGCUGCUUCGGAGACCAGAUCUACACAAUGCCAUGUGUGCAGACCAACUGGGAUUCCAGGCUCUUUCAUCACCUUGGGUCAAAGGAGGAUCUCCUUGUGUCAGCAGGCCACUGGAUUACAACAAAUCACAGAACCAUAGGAGGUGGAAGGGUUUUCAAGGGAUCAUCUUGUCCAGCCCUCUUAGUGGGUUCUCCUGUGCAGUCUGCCCUUGUGAAAGCACUAUCCUGGGAUGCUGUUUUGCAUUAGUUUCCUUCCAAAAUGGGUCUGGCAGUUUCAGCCAUUGACCUGCUGGUUGCCCAUGAGUUGCCCCACGUUCUCACUCCUGCUUUCCUACCACCUCCUCCACCUCCUGAUCCAUGCUCUUCCCAUUACUACCACUGCAGAAUACCCUUGUCCUAACAAUGUGCCUUAGAAUCACAAAUAAUGGAGUGGGGAAUGAAUAACAGGAGAGAGUGAAUAUUUACUGUGUCCAGGUUAUUACUUAAUAACUGCCUGCUUCAUUCUUUGAUAACAUUUAAACUAUCUGAAAUUGCUGCAUCUAAUACAUGCUACUAAAUAGUGCCAUGCCCAUAACUUGAUUGCAGCAAUCCAUCGGGGACGUGUUUCAAAAUGUCAACAUUUCUCUGCAGUUCUUAGCACGAGCGUUGAGAAAACCCAGUGUUUCAGAUGCUGCUGGGUCUGCUAGAUGCUGAAGUGGUGUCAGCACGAUUUCUCUUACUCAGUACUGGCACCCAAAGCCACUUUUUGGGUGAGGCCAGAGUAAUAUUGUACACACGGACAGGCAAUUUGCUUAGAAGGGUAUAUGAGGCUGCAGAACAGUGGGAAGGUGAAGACGAGCACAGAAGGCAACAAUCCCUGCUGGCUGCCUUCCUGCUCCAUGCUCUGUUCCCAGUGGUUUCGCUGAACAGGCGAACUGGUGUGCUGUCAGUCUGGAAUGCCAUCAGCUCCUCCAAACCUUGGUUUCUGAGGGCUCGCUCUCCUGUGCACACUCAGCAAGUCUCCAGUAGGAGCGAAAAGCCUCUUCCAUUGUCACUGCAAGGCAGCAACGCAUCACGAAGUCCUCAUCUAAGGAGAUCCUAGAUGAGUGUCUCAUUUGCAUGUCUAACAAAGCUUUGGGUAAUCACGGAGAGGACGCUGGACUCAGUUAAAAGACUGGGUGUUUGGAAAGAGGCAUCUGUGCUCGGCGAUCCCUUGAUCUGCCUCAGAUUUGAGUCCGUCUUGCAAAAGGAUGCUGCAUCUUCGCUGCACAUCUGGAAAUUCCAGAUUUUUGUGGAAGGCAUUGGGUUCCGGAGCUGGGAGGUCUGGGACAUCAUACUGCUUGUUUUUUCAAGCACUCUUCUGUAGCAAAAGUAAUACCAGGAGUGGAAGGCCUUCCCUGGGCAGCCAGCAGAGGGGAGGAAGUACUGGGGUCUGCUGGCACAGCAGAGCUUGCCAAGGGAGAUCUCGAGUCCAGAUCUGGCUGGUUGCAGCAGUUUUGUUAUGGCAUUAUGCAAAGUCCUUUGAAGAUUUCCUCUUGGCAGAGCCUGCCGCGUCAUCACAGAGGUAGAGCAGGGAAUGAUCUAAAUCUUGUUAGGCGUUGUGAAGCAGUCAGAACAGCUGGCUGCAAAAUUAGCCCCUCAACAAAGAAGGAAGCGAGGGGGUUGUAAGCCUGAAAGAGUAGGGGUGAGGCUGUUAGUGAUACAGGACACAGUGCAGCAGGGGGCUGGGGCAGGUUGGCUCUGGCUUGAGAUGUGAAUGAAAGCAAGUGAAGGUGAGUUAAGGUAUUCAGGGAAAGGGGAGAUGAGCACAGUGAAGUCGAUAUAUGGAACGGCUCCUUUUUCUGAAGUUCCACGAUGUUCACCUAAGUGCAGUGAUCUUCAUGUCCUUCUAAUUCCCCUCUUUGCAAUCUCACAAAUCGAGGGGAUGGCUUUGCUUUUACCUGCUGUUGCAUACUGUUGGUAACUCACGGUGGUCUCCCAAGGUGACUGCCCACACCUGGGGCUGGUCAUGCUCUGACUGUGCAGGUGACAGAGCCUUGGCCAGGACACAUUCUGUGCUUGUGUUCCUGCCAUUUCCCCUCACUCUGGGGUGUCACAUCCUCAGGGCCCCAGCACAGAGGUCUUUAGCUUCACAGCGAUGUCUUUCACACCUUCCCCACCAUAUGCUUCUCUUGCUUCCCUUUCCUGCCAAAGUACAUCCCCAACUUCUCUGUCCGCAUUUGCUCCUCCUCUGUCUCUAAUGAGGCAAAUGUUAAAGCUCAGCAAAGGAUAUCUGUUGAGCUCUGAGGAUUGCUGGUGGGAGAAACCCCACGGGUGGCUGAAAAUGUUUCAGCAUCCCCCUUCUUACUUUUCAUUUACAUCUCGUCUCUGCAGAGUGGGUAGUGUUCCUUGGAAACAGCAACACUUAUAUACGUUACUAUAUUACUUAUAUACAUUAACUAUAUUACAUAUAGUACGAGGGCUGCUCCGAAUGUAGUGCCUCCCAUUUUAUGAUGUCAACCUACAAAGUCAGAGGCAGAUGUUGGUGGUGUGACAGUAGAGGUUGAACCUUCUCACCAAUAUUCCAUUACAUGUUGUUGCCACGUGACAGAUGGCAGCAAGAGGGGCAGUCUGACAGAAUGGCACUUGAAGAAGAUGGAAGAGCAUGUGAAGCAAAGGUAUGUCACUGAAUUCCUCCGUGUGGAAAAAAUGGCACCCAUUGACAUUCAUCAGUGCUGGCUGAACAUUUAUGGAGACCAAACAGUAGAUGUGAGCACAGUGAGUGAUGUUACGACAGCAGCAGUGGGUCACUUGCGCUAGUACAGACUGUUACGUGCAUGGCAUAGAGGUUCUUGUUCAUUGCUAGUGAAGAUGGAUAGCUAAUGAUGGUGACUAUGAUGAAAAAGAAUGUCUUGUAGCUGAGAAUUUGCUCUAUCAAAUACUGUUGUUGUGCUCUUUGUAUCUGCUGUAGUUUCCACGGAAAUAAGAAGGCAUUACUUUUGGAACAACCACUGUAGAUGCAGCCCUGGAUAAUUCCUCUUCACCCAAUGUGGCCCAGCGACCAGCAGCAGAGACGCUGUCCUGCCCGUCCCACAUUGUUUUCCCUGUGGCUUGGAAAGCCCAAAAGUCUCUGGUGAAACCUUUGAAAGCUGCUUCUGUAAAAGGCCCUGAAAACCUCCACCCCAGCAAAACCCCCAGGCUGGGGCUCUUCACUGAAGACCCACGUUGCAUCCGAGGACAAGGCUUUUUCUUCCCAAGGGGGUCCUGCUGUGCGUGGAAAUAUGAAAGAUGCCCUCGAAAAGAAACAAACCCUUCAGGUUGCAGUAGAGACGGAGCGGGGCUGAACAUCAAUUUCAGCUUUCAAGUGACUUUACGCUGUCUCCUUGAUUGACUUGCCAGUUUUAAUACUGUAAAUUGAGGGAUUGCGUGUAAUGCAUUCAUGCCGUUCUUGUCUGGAAUGAAGCAGGAACAUAAUUUAUGGGGAUAUUCUCAUCUCAGCCUUUGAGGAAUUAGCUUCAAUUAACUCUGUUGGGAAUUGCAUGUGUCGGGUGUCAGAAAGCCAUCAAGUUUUCUUUAGAAAUGCCUGCUGCUGCGCACAUUUCAUUCUUUGGCUGUCUGAAGGGUUUUAGCAGUGGAUAAGGAUUCAAAGCUUGGGAAACUCAGAUCCGGGUGACCAAGUUUCACAGGGUUAAUACAGAGCACAGAUGAUGGACAGGGCUGCAGCCCAUUAGGAUUUAUAGCCCUCCAGUACGAGCAGGAGAGUUUUGGGGGAGGGUCGAGCAGCUCCUGAACCCAGUGUGCAGAAUGAGCAAACAAACCAGGAGACAGGCUGGAAAAUAAGAUCUCUGUGGAUAAAUCUUACUGACACCCAUGAGAAUAAGAAAGAGCAUUGGCUUCGGGUGCCAUUUUGAAACAGAGACUCCUCAGCACUCGGUUUCUGUGCUGGUGGGGACAGAUUCAGGCAGAGAUGUCUGAUGCUUCUUGAAGGCCAAAAAUCCCCCCUCCUGGCCCUUAAUCAGCACUUCAUUAUCAGCUGCCACCCCCAGAUCAGCCACCAGCCUCACUUUGUGGGUGCAAACUGUUUCCCAGAGAUGCCCUCACACCUAAAGGGCCAAUUCUCCAUCCCCAGCUUAUCCCGAGGAUUAAAAACCCACCCAAGCGCCAUCUGAGCAAAUCCAAACCAGGAAUCCUAAUCAGUUCUGUUGCUAAAAGUGCAUUAAUGCGACACAAGAGAGAGCGUGGCUUUCUUCCAGCGGAUCCAACAAUCACAGCUCAUUUGGGUGAGGGAUUUUUCUGCUGCUGUGUAUUGACACAAAGGAGCACUUAGCUUGAUAAUGCCUCCUGGCUGCUGCCACGAUGCGAAUAUUAAGAACAAAUUAAGGUGUAAGACUAAGCUCUAGGUGUUGUUACCUGUUCACGGUGAGGUAGCAGUUGCUUCUUUAGCUUUUUCACACCAAAAUAUUGGCUCUCAGCGCUCAGGAGUUUAAAAAUAAAAUUGAGCUCCUACCUAUCGCAGGAAACAAUUAGGAUGCGAGGUCUCUUUUUAAUAUUUCUUCUGUGGUGUUUCUAAUCUGCAGUUUAAUCUGACAUGGUGUGAAGUAGGACCGGCUGCAAUCCCCAUGAAUCCAGCUGGUCGGGAUGACUUGCUCACUGAGCUGGUUGAAAGCAGUGCGGACACAGCAGCUCGCAUAAAUUGAAUGCCAGCUUGAUGUUUGUCAUGGCCACAGAAAUCCAGAGGCUGAGACUGGUGUCAGCAUGGGGAUUGUCCUGCACCAGAGCUCUGCUGCCUGGACUGGCUGGUCUUGGGGUGUUUGCCACUCUGAAUCCCACUUAGGGUGGCAGUGGCAAAGGUGAAAGUAGUUGCUCAAAUUCUCCGAAGUCAAACUGUAUUGACCCUCAGUUAGGUGUAAAGUUUGUUUGCCUACAUGUACCCUUGACAUGACACCUAACUGAGUGGUGCAGCUGAUAGAUCAGAAGGAAGGGAUGGCACCCAGGAGGACCUGGGCAGGCUUUAAAAGUGGGCCCACAUGAAACCAGUGAAGUUCAACAAGGCCAAGUGCAAGGUACUACUCUUGAAUCAGGAUGAUCCCAGCUGUGGGUACUGGGAGAAGAACUCAUUGUGAGCAGCCCUGCCGAAAAGAACAUGGGGGUUCUGGUGGACAAGAAGCUGAGCAUGAGCCUGCAGUGUGUGCUUGCAGCCCAGAAGACCAGCUGUGUCCUGGGCUGCAUCAAGAGAGGGGUGACACUGGGACAAGGAGGGGAUUGUCCCCCUCUGUUCUGCCUUUGUGAGGCUUCAUCUGCAGUACUGCAUCCAGGCCUGGGGCCUCCAGCACAGAAAGGAUGAGGAGCUGUUAGAGCAGGUCCAGAAGAUUCCACAAAGAUGCUUAGAGGGAUGAAGCACCUCUUCCAUGAAGAAAGGUUGAAGGAAGUGGGCUUGUUCAGCCUGGAGAAGAGAAGGCUCCAGGGAGACCUUAUCGUGGCCUUGCAGUACUUGAUGGGAGAUUAUAAGCAGGAGGGAGACUGGCUUUUUACACAGUCUGAUAGUGGUAUGAUAAGAGGGAAUGGCUUUAUGAGGGGAGAUUUAGGUUAGAUGUUAGAAAGAAUUUUUUUACUCAGAGGAUGGUGAGGCUCUGGCACUGCUGCCCAGAGCUGUGGGUGCCCCAUUACCAACCAAAGCCAUUCUGUCAUUAAUAGUUGCAGAAAGAUGAGUGAUUGGGAUGAAAGAGGUGUCUUCUGGGUUACUGAGUGCUGGCGACAAAGCUGGCCAAACACCCUGCCUCCAGAAAUGAUCUCAGCAGUAUGUGCAGCAUAGUCAAACCUAGGGGACUGGAAGGAACAGGGAGAAAUGAGCAACAGAACAAAGCUAGGCUUGCUUUGGAAAUACUUCAGCUAAGUAAACACAUCUAAAACUAAUCUGCUCUCUAGUGAGACGGGGAAGCUGGAAAAAGCAUGGUGAAGCUUUGGUGGCUGACCAUAUGAAGGAUGAGUUCUAGGAGAUGACAGAACAGCUGCUGGGUGACAGGCUGGGAUGUACACGCUCAGUGCUGGGGAGAACAUGGGCUGCAAGUCCAUUGGCUUUCUGACCCUUCUGGGUGGCACCUUGUCCCCUCCUUGGCACCCGCCUACAACACGGCGGUGAUGAGUGGCAGGAAUUUGGAGAAUAGCACCGGCAGUGUGCUGGAGAGGAUGUGCUGGAGAGGAUGAUUUACGUAUGCAAUGCUGACAAGGAGAUGUGUGCAUAGCUUAGCUAAGCACCAGUCUGACACUGGAGGAGAGGAGGGGAGAGGUUAGGUAAGAGCAGCAGUCAUUGGAAAGCCUGAAGUGCUGGUAAGGAAGGAGGGAUAUUUUCGUUGGUGAGAGAGAGAAUGAGGAAAACAAUGGCAUGGCAACCAACAAAGAAAAGUGCAGUGAGGACAUCUGAUAUGGCAUUUAAUGGCUUUCCAAAGGGAAUGGCUGAAGUUCCAUAAACACAAAAUUUGAACAUUACACAGCAAAUAUGGUGUCAGGAAUUGUCCGGGGAUGAGGAUGGAGAGGAAUUUGGAAGCUUCCCCCACCCUGCUUUGACAAUUGCCCUGCAGCAUCCUGCCCUACCCAGCGGUACCGGAGGACUGCUUGUUCUUAGCAGCCCUGGCAGCAUGAAGUGAAACAUCUUCCUUCCAAAGAUACAGGGGGAUUUGGGAAGAGAUCUCCUCCAGGUGAGCAGCACAGCAUUAACCCCUCAGUUCCACGAGUCCCCCCUGGCUGAGCCCGAGCACUCGUGACUUCAGCUCCCUGCUUUGCCCAGCCAAAAAUGAUCUUUUAUUCCCCAACUUCAUUCAGAAAGGAACAUUCUGCUCAGUAAUGGACGAGGAUGACUGCAAAUGCUACCAGCCACACAGUAGCUCUGCGUUCCUCCUGAUUCACUCCGAGAUACAGAUUUGCUGAGGCUACUGGAAACGAUUGGGAAAUGCAGGAAAUGUAUUAGCAUGUGGCUCGGCAGCAGCUUAGCAAAUCUUGCCAAAAUCUCUCUGGCUGCCUGCGCUUUUUCUCUGCUUUUAAUGUCCUUUCAUCUUCAUUAACCUUUUAUAGCUCUGUCUGAUUGCUGCAGCUUUCCCACCAUUUCCUACCAAAAUGUCACUGUAAUAGCUUUGUUAUGGGCAGCCAAUAUCGAUGUUGGCCAUUGCAGGGCUGUUAACAUCUAAGAGAGUGAUUGAGAUGGGAUGGAGCUGUUUGCGAGCAAUGCUGAAGGUCAGAUGGAAGCUGCCAGGAGUGCAUGUAAGAGGGGAGCAGGAUGAUGUUAAUGGAAAUCACCCUCCGAAAUGCAUCUCGGUGGCUCUCCCAGAUGACCGAUAACCUUGUGAGAAUUGCAGCAGCUUCUGCAGCUCCUCGACCCAGCGAAUAAAUGUCCAGCUUUGUUCGUUUGCAACUGAGUUUUGAGGCCAAGUUUAAAAAUGACAGCAAUAAAAAAAAAAAAGCCCUCCAAAAAUGUUCCUUUUUUAAGAGUUUGGAAAAGAUGCUUGUCAGCUGCUGCAGUCUUUGUGAGCCUGGGUGUGGCUUUCUUGGGGUAUAACUCAGAGCUUUCCAUUGUCUAGCAGCUAGCUGGGGCAUUAAAUUGUCACGGAUCACAUCUUUUUCAUCACACAUGCACAAACCUGGAAGAUUAAUUAUACUCCCUUUUGUAAAAUGCAGUAUCCCAAGUGAUUAGGGAAGAAAUGAAUCAAGAAUAUGAAUGUAAGUACCUCAAAGCAGCGCAGCCGUAGCUUGACUUGAAAGAAAACAGCUGCCAAGGAAAAUAGUACAGCAAAAAUGUAGAGCGGCAUCUCAGGGGCUGGGGGAAGUGUUUAGACUGACCUGGGGCUCUGACACCUUGAGGUGGGAUUGCAUCAGCCCUCUUACACCAAGC